AUGCACGCUGGCGGCUUGCCUCAUACAUGCAAGUCGCGCGCACGGACGAGAAGCUUGCUUCUCUGAUGUUAGCGGCGGACGGGUGAGUAACACGUGGAUAACCUACCUAUAAGACUGGGAUAACUUCGGGAAACCGUAGCUAAUACCGGAUAAUAUUUUGAACCGCAUGGUUCAAAAGUGAAAGACGGUCUUGCUGUCACUUAUAGAUGGAUCCGCGCUGCAUUAGCUAGUUGGUAAGGUAACGGCUUACCAAGGCAACGAUGCAUAGCCGACCUGAGAGGGUGAUCGGCCACACUGGAACUGAGACACGGUCCAGACUCCUACGGGAGGCAGCAGUAGGGAAUCUUCCGCAAUGGGCGAAAGCCUGACGGAGCAACGCCGCGUGAGUGAUGAAGGUCUUCGGAUCGUAAAACUCUGUUAUUAGGGAAGAACAUAUGUGUAAGUAACUGUGCACAUCUUGACGGUACCUAAUCAGAAAGCCACGGCUAACUACGUG
rnacentral:rRNA from 1 species